rnacentral:RNase_MRP_RNA from 1 species
AAAACACGGCGUGCUUCAUUUACACCCAGGCAUGUCUGUACGUCUUUGCAUUCGUCAUCACGUAUGUUUGGUUAGGCAUGACGACCCUUGCAAGCAUCACUACCUAUAGCAUCGAGCCGGAAAUCCAUAGGAACAAUCGUUUCUUCUGGCCGCUUCAAGGAUUCUGGAAUUUUAUUAUCUUUGUCCGACCAGUGUAUCAUCACAUGCGGAGGAAAGAAAAAGAUACAAAUUGGUUC